UACAGAGGUCUCAAGCGUUGUUCGGAAUCACUGGGCGUAAAGCGUGCGUAGGCUGUUUCGUAAGUCGUGUGUGAAAGGCGCGGGCUCAACCCGCGGACGGCACAUGAUACUGCGAGACUAGAGUGCGGGAGGGGUAAGCGGAAUUCCUAGUGUAGCGGUGAAAUGCGUAGAUAUUAGGAGGAACACCGGUGGCGAAGGCGGCUUACUGGACCGUAACUGACGUUGAGGCUCGAAAGCGUGGGGAGCAAACAGG
rnacentral:rRNA from 1 species